UCUUUAGGGAAGUCUUCCCUGAUUUUCCAGACAAGAUUCAGUACCCCACCCCCCAACCGUGUCAGUGUCCUUACAUCAUUCAAUCAUUCAUUCAUUAUUUCUUUCCUUCACUUAAACAUUCAACCACUUCUCCACCAAACAUCCAUAGAGUACCCGCUCUGCUCUAGGAUUUGUUCCAGGCACCGAGGACACAGGCACUGCUUUAAUGGAGCUCACAUUUGGGGAUCAUUCAAUAAACAGGCAAACAGAUAAGAGAACAUCAGACAAACAUGUGACAGGAAGUAAAUGAACAGGGUCGCGUGGUAAGAGGGUGACCUCAGGGGUCCUCCCUGAGGAGGUGAUGUUUGAAUCAACAUUUGAAUCAAGAAGAAGGGGCUGGUCAUGGAAAGAUCUGGGUAAAGCAUACCCAAGAGCGGGGGGUCAGCAAAGGCAAAGGCACUGAGGCAGGAACGUAACCAGCACAACUGAGAAAGAGCCAGGAAGGCCCUGCGGCUGCGGCCCAGGGGGAAGAGGUGCGCCUGGAAAGGUCGGGUGGUGGCAGGCUGUGCAGGCCCUAAAGACUGUCACACGGACUCUGGAUCCUGACCUGGGAGCAGAGGGCAGCCGUCAGAGGGUUUUAACAUGGUUCUGUGUUUCUGCACAGCCUCAGCCCUCUUCACCCUUUGCAGUUCUGCUUUUGCAUGACUUUUGGAGUGGUGUCUGGCUUUUGACUGUGAGCAUCCCGCAGGGGUCCACCGUGUCCCUUCUGAUCCCCGAAUAUAUGUCUAACUCAUAGUAAGCGCAGGUGUCAGGUUGGGUGCCUCCAGAAGCAGAUCCCCUCGCCCCAUGAGUGGGCCUGUGCAGACAGAGACGGUGAGCGAUAUAAAGAUGCAGUGGGGCAGACAGAUGCCUUUUGGACGAGCAAGUCAAAGAAUCCUGCCCGUUACCUGGAACCCCGAGGCCUCCUGGUCCAUCGUGAGUGGAGGCCACGGAUGCAUCCAAGCAUCCUACAAUGCCCUGGGCACUAGCUGAUGGAGAGCGGCCCAUUCAGGUUGCUUCGGUCCUUGCAGGAUGAACGAGGUGAAGAAACACACGUACUAAUUCUUGGGAGACUUUUGACGCUUACUCAAAAGAAUGCAACGUUUGCUUAUAUUGAGGGGGGCGGCUUAGAUUCUGUAAUGUAUUAUUAGCUCUCAGAGUUUCACAGCAUUUGAGAAUUUUGGACUUAAUAAAAUGUCUAUCAAUUAGAAAUGCUUGGGUGCUGAUAACCGAAGAAUCACAAUGACCAACAGUUAUAUGCUGAACAUAACUUGCCAGGCACUUUAAUAGGCACUUCUCCUACACUAACUCAUUUAUUCUUUACAACCUCACGAGGAGAUUUCUCUUCCCUCCACGUAGGGAACGCAGGCACGGAGCUAGUAAGUGACAUACCCGAGAUGUGACGCCAGAUAGAUGACUCCAGAGGUCACGCUCUUAGCUGCCUCUCUUUAGAGCCAAAUAACAGUGACUUCAGCCAUAAGAACACCUGUCAUUUACUUAAAAAAGAGUUUAGCGUGGAGUCCUCUGACCUUGCCCUUUGCCAUCCUCAGCAC
ensembl:lncRNA